rfam:Triticum aestivum genome assembly, contig: Triticum_aestivum_CS42_TGACv1_scaffold_576926_7BL
AUCGUACUCCCUCCGUUCCGAAUUACUUGUCGCAUGUAUGGAUGUAUCUAGAUUAUUUUAAUUCUAGAUACAUCCAUUUCAGCGACCAAUACUUUAAAACGGAGGGAGUAUUAU